rnacentral:rRNA from 1 species
UGAGGAAUAUUGGUCAACGGGGGAGACCCUGAACCAGCCAUGCCGCGUGCAGGAAGACGGCCUUCUGGGUUGUAAACUGCUUUUAUAUAGGAACAAAGGUCCCAUGCGUGGGAAGUUGAGUGUACUAUAUGAAUAAGCACCGGCUAACUCCGUG